rnacentral:rRNA from 1 species
AGUGAACGCUGGCGGUAGGCCUAACACAUGCAAGUCGAACGGCAGCACAGUAAGAGCUUGCUCUUACGGGUGGCGAGUGGCGGACGGGUGAGGAAUACAUCGGAAUCUACUUUUUCGUGGGGGAUAACGUAGGGAAACUUACGCUAAUACCGCAUACGACCUACGGGUGAAAGCAGGGGUUCUUCGGACCUUGCGCGAUUGAAUGAGCCGAUGUCGGAUUAGCUAGUUGGCGGGGUAAAGGCCCACCAAGGCGACGAUCCGUAGCUGGUCUGAGAGGAUGAUCAGCCACACUGGAACUGAGACACGGUCCAGACUCCUACGGGAGGCAGCAGUGGGGAAUAUUGGACAAUGGGCGCAAGCCUGAUCCAGCCAUACCGCGUGAGUGAAGAAGGCCUUCGGGUUGUAAAGCCCUUUUGUUGGGAAAGAAAAGCAGCAGGUUAAUACCCCGCUGUUCUGACGGUACCCAAAGAAAAAGCACCGGCUAACUUCGUG